rnacentral:rRNA from 1 species
UCCGUAGGUGAACCUGCGGAGGGAUCAUUAAAGAGUUAAACAACUCCUAAACCCAUGUGAACCUACCUUUGUUGCCUCGGCAGGUCUGCAACUUACCCUGAGGGGACCUACCCUGUAGGGACCUUACCCGGUAGUUGCCGGCAUAACCUGCCGGUGGUCUACUAAACUCUGUUUACUAUGUUAUUCUGAAUAAUAUAACUAAAUAAGUUAAAACUUUCAACAACGGGUCUCUUGGUUCUGGCAUCGAUGAAGAACGCAGCGAAAUGCGAUAAGUAAUGUGAAUUGCAGAAUUCAGUGAAUCAUCGAAUCUUUGAACGCACAUUGCGCCCAUUAGUAUUCUAGUGGGCAUGCCUGUUCGAGCGUCAUUUCAACCCUUAAGCCCUGUUGCUUAGCGUUGGGAGCCUACAGAUACCCUCUGUAGUUCCUUAAAGUUAGUGGCGGAGUCGGUUUCACACUCUAGACGUAGUAAAUUUUAUCUCGCCUAUAGAUGAGCCGGUCCCUUGCCGUAAAACCCCCUAAUUUCUAAAGGUUGACCUCGGAUCAGGUAGGAAUACCCGCUGAACUUAAGCAUAUCAAUAAGCGGAGGA